UUGCAGUGUUGCUCUUUGUCACUCAUACUGAUAUUCACAGAUAGGCAAGAAGGUUUCUAUGGGUCCUUUCUGCCUCUACUCUCUUUGUGCCAUCACAGAAUAGAGUGAUCUGGGAUUGAAAGGCGAGAAAAAAAACACAGGUCUCUGUUAAGAAGAGCCCACGCACUGAAUCCUACAUCCUUCAGAAAAGGAACCCUGAGCAGGUUCAUAUAACGAGGCCAGUGAAGCCCUACAGAAGUAUCUGAGGUUUAAGGAAGAGGCCACCAUCCUCUAAAUGGAUCUGAUUACACCGGGCAGACUGACCUCUACUGGAUGGAGAUUGCUUCACUGGCAACACUGUGUUCUUUAGUGUAAAAGUCACAUCACGGAAACAUCAGUCAAUAUCAGCCUCUUCAGGAACACCCAAAUCCACUGCUGUCAGAAUUGUGGGAUGCUCACAGUCAGCUCUUCUGUCCUCAUCACCCACUCAUUCCAGCCCAGUGACCUUUCUGUCACAAUGAAAUCUGCCAGCAUACUGCAGACAUGGUAGAAGUAUGCAAAUGCCAAAUGUUAUUAAAUGUGUCCACUGCCUGUAGAAAGACUAGUUACUGCUUUCUCUCUAUCACAAGAAAUCUCUUAGAUCCUUGUGCAAAUAAAGACAACUUGAAGUUACAUUGAUUUACACUCCUGAAACUCAAACAAGCCUUAGUAGUAUGUUUAAAAGUGAUACGGCUUCUUUAGAAGCAAGCAGAAAAUAUUUUAUAUUUGACAUGCUUUGUAGGUCACAUGGAUAAUGUAACUCAUUACAAAAUAUUAAGGUAAGUUCUUGCAAAGGGUUGUCCUUCUCACUGUGACUUUUGAUGACAGCUGGGCAUCUGUUCCCCUUUAGGUCUCAGAAAAUCAGUGUCCUAAGAAAGAGGCAAUCAAAGUCUUCUACAGCAAAUUUACUGUUUACUGCUUUCUUACCAUACAUUUGACACGAAAGAGUUUUAGAAAGAGAAUAAUGACAAUCUUUCAUGCAGCUAAAACUUGAUCUCCGUUAUAUCAGUGUUGGAUAGAUUUUUAUCAAGGGGAAAGACGGAAUUAAAUAAGUGAUUAACGUGAUUAAGACCCACUGGUUUCACACAUAGUCUGACUAGCGAAAGACAAUUUGUUAGCAGUUCAAUCAAGAAGAUAGAUUAGUUUUAUCUAAUCUAGGGUACACUAUCUCUACUUUUAUGAUGAGUUUUUUGAAUUAAGUAUGGCCAAAGAAAGCUAGGGAAAUAGGUAUUUGUAGUGUUUACUUUUAUUAAAAGUCUACAAACACUUCCAGUUGAUUGUGAAGUAGAUAUCAGAAUUUCCUCCUUAACUAUGUACUACCAAGUUUUGAUGAGAAGCUUCCACAGUUUGAAGAAUGAGAAGCCACCAAGAAUACUUAGAGAAGGAAGGCUAGAAGUGGUUAAUGAAUACUGUUAACAAGAGAGGACAGGAGAUAACUUUAGAUAUAUUUAUUCUCAUAAAAAUCUAUUUAUUUUAUUAACUGCAUUGUGCCAACUGAACAUAGUAAAAAUACAAAACAGGCCCUUAUUUUCUGCUUUUUCACAAACAUCAUCUUUGUAUUUAUUAUUUGUGCUGUACACAGUAUCCCUUUGGACAACCAAGCUUAAUUUACGAUGCUAAAAUGAAAAAAGAAGAACAAUGAACAAAAAAGAAUAAAGGAAAAAGAAAGAAAAAAACAUGUGCAAGAUUGUUCAGCUUUGUUGGGCAAAUAUACACACAGCUGUAUCCUUAGUAGUGUGUUCAGAAGUCGUAUGGAUUCAGUGUAAAGCAGGACAAAAAAAAAAUGGGUAUAAAUCAGAAACUAGUAAAAUGCUCUUUGGGUUUAAUGUGAUCUGGUUUACACAUCCUGAGAAGGGCAAGUUCAUUUCCCAUGACAGGGGAAAGAAGAGAAUCCAAAGCUUGAACUCUCUAGUGAAACAACCUCUGGAAUUAUUACGGAAUCAGUUCAAAAUCAAACUUUGGAUGCUCCCUUUUAACUUUUUAACUAGGGCUACAUAUUUAAUUUUACUCUAACUUCGGUAAAGAGCUAUAGAAGAACAGAAGCACCCUCUCAGCUUACCUUUCUUCCCACAUCCAGUGAUUCCUUUUCUAAAUGAUAUUUUCUUCUUUGGGUUUCAUAAGGUAAUACAAAUGUGCACAAAUCUACAAAAAAUAAUAAUAUUAACAAUAAUCACAAACUCAAGCUGUUUUCUUUCCUGCUCAUUACAUCUCAUAAUUAGGCUCUCAAAGUUAUAUGCAGUGCUAAUGAGAAUCAUAACUGCUCGUUUUUUUCCUGAUUUUAAAAAUAAUGUUAUAUUUAAUUGUGGCUUUAUAUUUUAAUGAAAUUGUCGUUUUGUGAUUUUGCCCAAUAAUAAGAGAUAAUGUCUUGCCAACACCCAUUGGCAUCUUUGCUCAAUUAAGCAUAAUUGUAGCAAGUUUAGUCAAAAGUUGUAGCAAAAUCAAUCUAUGGUGUGUUGGCUGUUUUAGCUCAAUAUACUAAAAGACAUGUUUGUAUUUGUUUCAGAAUAUAUUUCCUCCCAUAAGCCUUAGAUCUGAUGAAAUCACUGUGCUAUAUGAAACUGUUUCCUACUAAAAAUAUUGUAACUGUAAAUCCUAAUCAUAACAUUUGCAGAAAAUACGGAAGGCAAUUAAUAUUAGAAUGAUAUUAGUCUCUUGAAAAACCC
ensembl:lncRNA